AUGCUGCUCAUUCCUGGAUAUUGUGAGGGCUGGCGUUGUGCCCACGCCGGUCUCUACAUCACGGUGCUGUCAGCAUGCGGCAAAGGCAACGACGUCCUGCUCGGAAUGCAGCUGCACAAGCGCGUCAUUGAGAGUGGGGUGCUGCCUGUCCUCAAGGUGGAGAAUGCGCUCGUUGAUAUGUAUGCCGAGUGUGGCGAGAUGGAAGCAGCUUGGGAUUUGUUUGAGGUCAUGCAGGUGAGGAACAUUGUGUCCUGGACGUCGGUAAUCUGUGGGUGUGUAAGACUAGGUCAGGUUGAUCGAGCCAGAGUACUGUUUGAUCGUAUGCCUGAGAGGGACACCGUCUCAUGGACUGCAAUGAUUGAUGGUUAUGUACAAGCUGGCCAGUUCCGAGAGGCAUUGGAGAUGUUUCGUGAGAUGCAACUUAGCAAGGUGAGGGCAGAUGAGUUCACCAUGGUCAGCAUAGUCACGGCAUGCACGCAGCUUGGUGCUUUAGAGACAGGGGAGUGGGCUAGAAUUUACAUGAACAGACAUGGGAUCAAGAUGGAUACUUUUGUCGGGAAUGCACUCAUAGACAUGUAUUCAAAGUGUGGGAGCAUCGAGCGUGCAUUGGACGUGUUCAAUGAGAUGCACAGUAGAGAUAAAUUUACCUGGACCGCUGUUAUACUUGGUCUUGCAGUGAAUGGCCAUGGUUUGGAGGCUAUCGAUAUGUUUGACAGGAUGCUUAGGGCGUUUGAAGCUCCAGACGAGGUGACCUUCAUUGGCGUUCUCACUGCCUGUACUCAUGCUGGCUUGGUUGACAAAGGACGAGACUUCUUUCUCAGCAUGACUGUGACCUACAGGAUUGCUCCUAAUGUGAUGCAUUAUGGAUGCAUAAUCGACCUCCUUGGCCGAGCUGGGAAACUAAGAGAAGCAUUGGAGACAAUAGGUAAAAUGCCCAUGAAACCCAACUCUGCAAUUUGGGGGACCCUGCUGGCAGCUUGUAGGGUCCAUGGUAACUCAGAGAUAGGUGAAUUGGCAGCAGAACGUCUCCUUGAGUUGGAACCUGAGAACAGCAUGGCUUACGUCCUUUUGUCCAACCUGUAUGCAAAAUCUAAUAGAUGGGGAGAUGUCCGGUGGCUUAGGCAAUUAAUGAUGGAGAAAGGAAUCAAGAAAGAGCCUGGUUGCAGUCUUAUUGAAAUGAACGGCACAAUUCAUGAAUUUGUAGCUGGCGAUAGAUCUCAUCCUAUGAGCGAAGAAAUCUAUUCUAAAUUGGACAUGUUACUCAUGGAUUUGAAGAAUGAUGGGUAUGUACCUGAUGUAACCGAGGUCUUUGUUCAAGUCACAGAAGAAGAAAAACAAAAAGUUCUUUAUUGGCACAGCGAGAAGUUGGCUGUCGCUUUUGCAUUACUCGUAUCAGAAUCCAGCGUGACAAUAAGGAUCGUGAAAAACUUGAGGAUGUGUUUGGACUGCCACAAUGCAAUUAAAUUGAUCACCAAGCUGUAUAUGAGAGAGAUUGUUGUGAGGGACAGGACACGCUUCCAUCAUUUUAGACAUGGACUCUGCUCUUGUAAGGACUAUUGGUAA
rnacentral:rRNA from 1 species